GCCUAGCCAUUAACACAGACAGCUAAACAACAACGCUGUCCGCCAGAGAACUACAAGCAAAAAACUAGAAACUCUAAGGACUUGACGGUGCUCCACACCUACCUAGAGGAGCCUGUCCUAUAAUCGAUACCCCACGUUAAACCCUACCGCCCCUAGCAUAAACCAACCUAUAUACCGCCGUCGCCAGCCUACCUUAUGAAAGAACAAUAGUAAGCAAAACAGUAAGCACUAACACGUCAGGUCAAGGUGUAGUAAAUGAGGCGGAAGAGAUGGGCUACAUUUCCUAAAAUAGAAAACACGAACAGCAAGAUGAAAUACUUGCUAGAAGGAGGAUUUAGCAGUAAGACAAAAAACUUUUUUUAUCUUAAGACAGCUCUGGAGCGCGCACACACCGCCCGUCA
rnacentral:rRNA from 1 species